AGAGUUUGAUCCUGGCUCAGGAUGAACGCUGGCGGCGUGCUUAACACAUGCAAGUCGAACGAAGCGCAUAAGCGGAAUUCUUCGGGAGGAAGGUUAUGCGACUGAGUGGCGGACGGGUGAGUAACGCGUGGGCAACCUGCCUUACACAGGGGGAUAACAGUUAGAAAUGACUGCUAAUACCGCAUAAGACCACAGCUUCGCAUGAAGGAGUGGCAAAAACUGAGGUGGUGUAAGAUGGGCCCGCGUCUGAUUAGGUAGUUGGCAGGGUAACGGCCUACCAAGCCGACGAUCAGUAGCCGACCUGAGAGGGCGACCGGCCACAUUGGGACUGAGACACGGCCCAAACUCCUACGGGAGGCAGCAGUGGGGAAUAUUGCACAAUGGGGGAAACCCUGAUGCAGCGACGCCGCGUGAGUGAAGAAGUAUUUCGGUAUGUAAAGCUCUAUCAGCAGGGAAGAAAUGACGGUACCUGACUAAGAAGCACCGGCUAAAUACGUGCCAGCAGCCGCGGUAAUACGUAUGGUGCAAGCGUUAUCCGGAUUUACUGGGUGUAAAGGGAGCGUAGACGGUCUGGCAAGUCUGAUGUGAAAAUCCGGGGCUCAACCCCGGAACUGCAUUGGAAACUGUUAGACUAGAGUGUCGGAGAGGUAAGUGGAAUUCCUAGUGUAGCGGUGAAAUGCGUAGAUAUUAGGAGGAACACCAGUGGCGAAGGCAGACCUCUGGGCCUUUUACUGACACUAAAGCGCGAAAGCUGGGGGAGCAAACAGGAUUAGAUACCCUGGUAGUCCCAGCCGUAAACG
rnacentral:rRNA from 1 species